CCUACGGGAGGCAGCAGUGAGGAAUAUUGGUCAAUGGACGCAAGUCUGAACCAGCCAUGCCGCGUGCAGGAUGACGGCCCUAUGGGUUGUAAACUGCUUUUGUACGUGGGUAAAGUCCGAUAAGCAUAUCUCUCUGCAUGUAUCGUACGAAUAAGGAUCGGCUAACUCCGUGCCAGCAGCCGCGGUAAUACGGAGGAUUCGAGCGUUCUCCGGAUUUAUUGGGUUUAAAGGGAGCGUAGGCGGUUUGUUAAGUUAGUUGUGAAAGCCCGAGGCUCAACCGUGGAAUUGCCGCUGAUACUGGUAGCCUUGAGAGCAGUUGAGGUAGGCGGAAUUCAUGGUGUAGCGGUGAAAUGCUUAGAUAUCACGCAGAACACCGAUUGCGAAGGCAGCUUACUGAGCU
rnacentral:rRNA from 1 species